rnacentral:rRNA from 1 species
ACGGAAGGCAGCAGUGGGGAAUAUUGCACAAUGGGGGAAACCCUGAUGCAGCGACGCCGCGUGAGUGAAGAAGUAUUUCGGUAUGUAAAGCUCUAUCAGCAAGGAAGAAAAUGACGGUACUUGACUAAGAAGCUCCGGCUAAAUACGUGCCAGCAGCCGCGGUAAUACGUAUGGAGCAAGCGUUAUCCGGAUUUACUGGGUGUAAAGGGAGCGUAGACGGCAAAGCAAGUCUGAGGUGAAAUCCCGGGGCUCAACCCCGGAACUGCUUUGGAAACUGUUUAGCUAGAGUGCAGGAGAGGUAAGCGGAAUUCCUAGUGUAGCGGUGAAAUGCGUAGAUAUUAGGAGGAACACCAGUGGCGAAGGCGGCUUACUGGACUGUAACUGACGUUGAGGCUCGAAAGCGUGGGGAGCAAGCAGGAUUAGAUACCCUGGUA